CCUACGGGCGGCAGCAGUGAGGAAUAUUGGUCAAUGGACGAGAGUCUGAACCAGCCAAGUAGCGUGAAGGAUGACUGCCCUAUGGGUUGUAAACUUCUUUUAUAUGGGAAUAAAACGUUCCACGUGUGGGAUUUUGUAUGUACCAUAUGAAUAAGGAUCGGCUAACUCCGUGCCAGCAGCCGCGGUAAUACGGAGGAUCCGAGCGUUUUCCGGAUUUAUUGGGUUUAAAGGGAGCGUAGGUGGAUUGUUAAGUCAGUUGUGAAAGUUUGCGGCUCAACCGUAAAAUUGCAGUUGAAACUGGCAGUCUUGAGUACAGUAGAGGUGGGCGGAAUUCGUGGUGUAGCGGUGAAAUGCUUAGAUAUCACGAAGAACUCCGAUUGCGAAGGCAGUUCACUGGACUGCAACUGACACUGAGGCUCGAAAGUGUGGGUAUCAAACAGGAUUAGAUACCCCGGUAGUC
rnacentral:rRNA from 1 species